UCGAGAAUCAUUCGCAAUGAGCGAAAGCUUGACGAUGCGACGCCGUGUGAGCGAUGAAGGCCUUCGGGUUGUAAAGCUCUUUCGCCAGGGAACAAGAGAAGGUGGCGAAUAACUGCCUGAUUUGAGGGUACCUGGUAAAGAAGCACCGGCUAACUACGUGCCAGCAGCUGCGGUAAUACGUAGGGUGCAAGCAUUAAUCGGAAUUAUUGGGCGUAAAGGGCGCGUAGGCGGACGAAUAAGUCAGAUGUGAAAUUCCUGGGCUCAACCUAGGAGCUGCAUUUGAAACUGUUCAUCUUGAGGGUUGACGGAGAAAACGGAAUUCCACGUGUAGCGGUGAAAUGCGUAGAUAUGUGGAAGAACACCGGUGGCGAAAGCGGUUUUCUAGUUAACACCUGACGCUGAGGCGCGAGAGCAAGGGGAUCAAACAGGAUUAGAUACCCGGGUAGUCC
rnacentral:rRNA from 1 species